CCCUUAGAUGUUCUGGGCCGCACGCGCGCUACACUGACUACUUCAACGAGUUGUUUCCUUGAUCGAAAGGUCUGGGUAAUCUUCGAAAGGUAGUCGUGAUGGGGAUAGAUCCUUGCAAUUUUUGAUCUUCAACGAGGAAUUCCUAGUAAACGCAAGUCAUCAGCUUGCAUUGAUUACGUCCCUGCCCUUUGUACACACCGCCCGUCGCACCUACCGAUUGAAUGGUCCGGUGAAUCUUUAGGACUGUGGCUGAGGCCUUGCCUUGUGCGGGUCUGGCCGUGGGAAUUUAGUUAAACCUUACCAUUUAGAGGAAGGUGAAGUCGUAACA
rnacentral:rRNA from 1 species